rnacentral:rRNA from 1 species
UUACGGGAGGCAGCAGUGGGGAAUUUUGCGCAAUGGACGAAAGUCUGACGCAGCAACGCCGCGUGGGUGAUGAAGGUCUUCGGAUUGUAAAACCCUGUCGUCAGGGACGAAGGUAGGGAACCUAAUAAGUUUUCUGCUUGACGGUACCUGGAGAGGAAGCCCCGGCUAACUCUGUGCCAGCAGCCGCGGUAAUACAGAGGGGGCAAGCGUUAUUCGGAAUUAUUGGGCGUAAAGGGCGCGUAGGCGGUUUUGUAAGUAGGAUGUGUAAUCCCCGAGCUCAACUUGGGAACUGCAUCCUAGACUGCAAGGCUAGAGUACUGGAGAGGGUGGUAGAAUUCCACGUGUAGCGGUGAAAUGCGUAGAGAUGUGGAGGAAUACCAGUGGCGAAGGCGGCCACCUGGACAGUAACUGACGCUGAGGCGCGAAAGUGUGGGUAGCAAACAGGAUUAGAAACCCGAGUAGUCCC